UUGGAGGGCAAGUCUGGUGCCGGUAGCCGCGGUAAUUCCAGCUCCAAUAGCGUAUAUUAAAGUUGCUGCAGUUAAAAAGCUCGUAGUUGAAUUUCGGGAUCAACUAACUGGUCGUGCCUAUGGUACGUACUGGUUUUGUUGGUUUCUCCCUCUGAGGAGCCGCGAUGUCAUUAACUUGGUGUCGUGGGGAAUCAGACUGUUACUUUGAAAAAAUUAGAGUGUUUAAAGCAGGC
rnacentral:rRNA from 1 species